rnacentral:snoRNA from 1 species
UCCCUAUGAAAAAACAUUCACAGGUUUUACCUCCUGUCCUAGUCCCAGUAAAAGUGAAUCCACUUGGGCUUGCUGGGGUUGAAGAGGAAGCCUUGUUCCAGAAGGAACUGUCUGAAGGAA